rnacentral:rRNA from 1 species
UACGUAGGGUGCAAGCGUUGUCCGGAAUUAUUGGGCGUAAAGAGCUCGUAGGCGGUCUGUCGCGUCGGAUGUGAAAACCCAGGGCUCAACCCUGGGCCUGCAUUCGAUACGGGCAGACUAGAGUUCGGUAGGGGAGACUGGAAUUCCUGGUGUAGCGGUGAAAUGCGCAGAUAUCAGGAAGAACACCCGUGGCGAAGGCGGCUCUCUGGGACGGUACUGACGCUGAGACGCGAAAGCGUGGGGAGCAAACAGG